AUUGAACGCUGGCGGCAGGCUUAACACUUGCAAGUCGAGCGGAGAUGAGGUGCUUGCACCUUAUCUUAGCGGCGGACGGGUGAGUAAUGCUUAGGAAUCUGCCUAUUAGCGGGGGACAACAUUCCGAAAGGAAUGCUAAUACCGCAUACGUCCUACGGGAGAAAUCAGGGGAUCUUCGGACCUGGCGAUAAUAGAUGAGCCUAGGUCGGAUUAGCUAGUUGGUGGGGUAAAGGCCUACCAAGGCGACGAUCUGUAGCGGGUCUGAGAGGAUGAUCCGCCACACUGGGACUGAGACACGGCCCAGACUCCUACGGGAGGCAGCAGUGGGGAAUAUUGGACAAUGGGGGGAACCCUGAUCCAGCCAUGCCGCGUGUGUGAAGAAGGCCUUAUGGUUGUAAAGCACUUUAAGCGAGGAGGAGGCUACUGAGACUAAUACUCUUGGAUAGUGGACGUUACUCGCAGAAUAAGCACCGGCUAACUCUGUGCCAGCCGCCGCCGUAAAAC
rnacentral:rRNA from 1 species